rnacentral:rRNA from 1 species
UACGUAGGGGGCAAGCGUUGUCCUGAAUCAUUGGGCGUAAAGCGCGUGUAGGCGGUCCGGUAAGUCCGCUGUGAAAGUCGGGGGCUCAACCCUCGGAUGCCGGUGGAUACUGUCGGGCUUGAGUACGGAAGAGGCGAGUGGAAUUCCUGGUGUAGCGGUGAAAUGCGCAGAUAUCAGGAGGAACACCAAUUGCGAAGGCAGCUCGCUGGGACGUUACUGACGCUGAGACGCGAAAGCGUGGGGAGCAAACAGG